UUACUAUAGUAUUUUGAUUCAUGCUUGCUGCUUGGAAAUCUUCCAAUACAUUGCAAGAAAAUGGGGUGAGUUUAUUAGCAUUGAUGAAGAUACAAAUGCUCCAAAAUCGUUCAUGAAAGCUAAUAUCCAAAUUGUGACUUCUAGCUUGCAUUGGAUUGAAAAGAUCAUCGAGUUAAAGUUGGGGAGAGUUCUUCAUCAUCAGGAUCUUUGAAAAUGACCCUAUUAUUCUUCCUAAUUUAAGGUGUAAUUGUCAACUUGAGCAGAGUACUCCUAAUAAGAGCUCAGAUAUAAAUGGCAAAGAUGAUUGUUCUGGCCAUAGUAGGAAUUUGUUAUGCAAAGAUAAAGAUAGGUUUGAAGGGGUUAUGGAGUAAACAAGGUCAUGGUGCGAUGAAUCGAUGCAGAAGAAAGACUCCGAUGAAGGCCUUGACAAAAUAGAUGCAAUCAAUAAGGGACAACAUACUACGAGUAUGGGAGAGUGUGUAAGGGCGGCAGUGAUGGAAAAUGUGCAACAUGAUGAUGUAGGAGUUUCGGGUAAUCAGAUGGAUUCAGUUCUUGGAUCGG
rnacentral:lncRNA from 1 species